UCGGGAUAGCUCAGCUGGUAGAGCAGAGGACUGAAAAC
rnacentral:tRNA from 5 species